UUAAUUGUGUUCACUCACCGACGGUCUCAACUCCCAAGUACACGUGAAGUUCCUAUUAUACCCUUCGUCGUCUCCAGUGAGCGAAUUACAGAUACUCUCCCCACGUUAGUUAUUAUGCUCACUCCUAUUUCUCCAGCCUCAUGCUUUCCUUCCUUCUCUCAUCCCUUCGAUUCCAUUCCUUUUCCUCAAUUGAAUCCACCUGAAUUAAGAAGAUUUUCAGUUGCUUCCUCCAAUCCAUGGCGACCUUAAGCUAUUCAUCAAUGGCGGUUCUCUGUGCUGCACUCUUCACUUUCUCUACACUCUCCAAAUCGCAGCCGUUCAUCGGAGUGAACUACGGCCAGGUCGCCGACAACCUCCCGCCGCCGGAAACCACCGCGAAGCUCCUCCAAUCCACUUCAAUCGAGAAGGUUCGUCUCUACGGUACGGAUCCUGGAGUAAUCAAAGCCCUAGCGAACACCGGAAUCGAGAUCACAGUCGGAGUCUCCAACUCCGACAUCCCUGCCAUGGCGGCGGAUCCGAACGCCGCCAGCAACUGGAUCGCCGGAAACGUCGUCCCCUUCCAUCCGGCGAGCAAAAUCGGCCUCAUCAACGUCGGAAACGAGGUGAUGUCGUACAACGACCGCGGCCUGAUGCAACAGCUGCUCCCGGCGAUGCGAAAUCUCCAGAACGCCCUUGACUCCGCCAAUUUGGGGAAAAUCAAGGUCUCCACCGUCCAUUCCAUGGCGGUUCUCCGGCAGUCGGAUCCGCCUUCGUCCGGCAGCUUCGAUCCCGACGUCAAGGACUUGCUGAAGAACCUUCUAGAAUUCAACAACGCCACCGACUCGCCCUUCGCAAUCAACCCGUACCCGUAUUUCGCCUACCGGAGCGACCCGAGACCGGAGACCCUAUCCUUCUGCCUGUUCCAGCCGAAUCCGGGUCGGGUCGAUUCGGGAUCCGGAAUCAAAUACACCAACAUGUUUGACGCUCAGGUGGAUGCGGUUAGAUCUGCGCUGGAUUCGAUGGGGUUCAAAGGCGUGGAGAUCGUGGUGGCGGAGACAGGGUGGCCGUACAAGGGGGACGGGAAUGAAGUCGGGCCGGGCCUGGAGAAUGCACGGGCUUACAACGGGAACCUGGUUGCCCAUCUGAGGUCGAUGGCGGGGACGCCAUUGAUGCCUGGGAAAUCUGUGGAUACGUAUUUGUUUGCGCUGUACGACGAGGAUCAGAAGCCCGGCCCGAGUUCGGAGAGAUCGUUUGGGCUAUUCAAGCCCGAUUUGACCAUGAUUUAUGACGCUGGAUUGUCCAAGACGACAGCCUCCCAGGGUCCUCCCUCAAACAACACUCGAGCUGCUGCUCCAAAUCCAACCAACGGCUUAGCCAGGUGGUGUGUCCCCAAAACCACCGGCGUCUCCGAUUCUCAGCUACAAGCCAAUCUCGACUACGCGUGCGGGCAGCCCGGCGUGGAUUGCACCGCAAUCCAACCAGGCGGCUCGUGCUUCGAGCCGGUCACAGUGAGGUCUCAUGCGACGUACGCCAUGAAUCAGCUCUACCAAAAAUCUGAGAAGAAGCCCUGGAACUGCGAUUUCUCGCAGUCCGCCACCAUCACCUCCACAAAUCCCAGUUAUGAUAAGUGCAGUUAUCCUGGGGAAGGAGGUUCAUGAGAUGCACAAUACACUGCUGCUAAUUUAUUCAAUUGCCAACUGUUUAUAAAGUGCAGGCUGCAUAGAAGUAGAACAAGCCAUCCCUAACACGAGCAAUCGAUCAUCAUCGUAUAUGUUCAUUCAAUUGCCGGUAGAUCCAAACCCUCCGUCUCCUCUAACCGUGGCAUCAAGAUCAUCCACCUCCAUUACCUCAGGAGUCACAAUUUUCUGAAUGAUCAAUUGGGCAAUCCUGUCCCCAAUCUUCACUUCAAAAUCCACAUCCGAAUGGUUGAACAGAAUCACCUUCACCGGACCUCUGUAAUCAGCAUCAAUCACCCCUGCCCCCACAUCCACACAAUGUUUCAAAGCUAAACCUGAUCUUGGAGCUGCCAAAAUCAACACCAAAAGUACAAACAAAGAAUCAUCAAAUGAUUAACAUUUAGUGUUGUAGUUUUACAAUCGUUUUUAGAGUAUAUGAUAUUGCUUGUGUUUUUUGCAA